rnacentral:tRNA from 1 species
GGCGGCCUCGGCGGGUCCGAGGUCCCGCGCCGGCAGCGCGGCCGGUGCCGGUUCCGUGCCGGUGUCCGCCU